AGCAGUCGCCGCGGGAAUACGUAGGUGGCAAGCGUUGUCCGGAAUUAUUGGGCGUAAAGGGCUCGCAGGCGGUUUCUUAAGUCUGAUGUGAAAGCCCCCGGCUCAACCGGGGAGGGUCAUUGGAAACUGGGAAACUUGAGUGCAGAAGAGGAGAGUGGAAUUCCACGUGUAGCGGUGAAAUGCGUAGAGAUGUGGAGGAACACCAGUGGCGAAGGCGACUCUCAGGUCUGUAACUGACGCUGAGGAGCGAAAGCGUGGGGAGCGAACAGGAUUAGAUACCCCCGUAGUCCCUGUCUCUUAUAC
rnacentral:rRNA from 1 species